AAAUACCACCCUUUAAUGGCUGGUGUUCUAACGUAGACCCGUAAUCCGGGUUGCGGACAGUGUCUGGUGGGUAGUUUGACUGGGGCGGUCUCCUCCCAAAGAGUAACGGAGGAGCACGAAGGUUGGCUAAUCCUGGUCGGACAUCAGGAGGUUAGUGCAAUGGCAUAAGCCAGCUUGACUGCGAGCGUGACGGCGCGAGCAGGUGCGAAAGCAGGUCAUAGUGAUCCGGUGGUUCUGAAUGGAAGGGCCAUCGCUCAACGGAUAAAAGGUACUCCGGGGAUAACAGGCUGAUACCGCCCAAGAGUUCAUAUCGACGGCGGUGUUUGGCACCUCGAUGUCGGCUCAUCACAUCCUGGGGCUGAAGUAGGUCCCAAGGGUAUGGCUGUUCGCCAUUUAAAGUGGUACGCGAGCUGGGUUUAGAACGUCGUGAGACAGUUCGGUCCCUAUCUGCCGUGGGCGCUGGAGAAUUGAGGGGGGCUGCUCCUAGUACGAGAGGACCGGAGUGGACGCAUCACUGGUGUUCGGGUUGUCAUGCCAAUGGCACUGCCCGGUAGCUAAAUGCGGAAGAGAUAAGUGCUGAAAGCAUCUAAGCACGAAACUUGCCCCGAGAUGAGUUCUCCCUGAGACUUUAAGUCUCCUGAAGGAACGUUGAAGACGACGACGUUGAUAGGUCGGGUGUGUAAGCGCAGCGAUGCGUUGAGCUAACCGAUACUAAUGAACCGUGAGGCUUAACCUUACAACGCCGAAGGUGUUU
rnacentral:rRNA from 1 species